CUGCUAAGUCUGAGGAUUAAAGAGCUCAAGUGCUUAAAUACCUUCCUCCUUCCCUCAACUGGACUCCAAGCCCCACUCAGGCUGCAGCAGGCCGGAGGCAGACAUUUUAGAAUCUGCUGUGCAGAUAAGCAGGGGCUCAGGACUGCCCCCAUCACUUCAUCCACGUUCCACAUGGGAAUAAUGUGCAGAGACAUAGUUCCAUUUCAGCUUACAAGCUUUCCAACAGAAUGGGGCCCCAGCCCCCCAGGAGAGGAUGCCAUGGUUUCUGCAAGUCUGAUGCUAUUGGAUGGGCCACCAAAGAAGGAGGGUGCUCAAGGAGACAAAGGGGAGAGGGCAGGUCAAGGCAGCCCCUUCAGGGUGACCUUCCCAGCUUUGGGGAGCCCUCGAGCAGGCAAUUUUCCUGACCCAAUCCCAGAAGAGCCUCAACGGAAGACUCCAACUCUGGCAAAUGAGGAAGCUGGCAGAAGAUCUGUGCUCUUGGACAUGAACGUGACGCUUGGAGCUCCGAGUGCCAAAGUUGUGACCCUCCCAGAGCAGCAAAAUCUCACGGGAGGUGAUUUCAACUCUACUGUUUCUUUUACCAGAGCAACCCCUCUGUCCCUCUCCACCACCUCUCCACCCAUCAAAGUCUAUGGGACCUGAUUAAAAAGUGAAGAGAGAAAAAAGCCAAUACUGGUUAAGAGCAGUCCGAAGGAACAUACCACGCUAAAUAUGUCCGAGAGCCUUAAAGAUAUGAACAGUAUAAAAUUAGGACUUCCGCCAGCAAAGAGGCCAGAACAAGAUAUAAAACCCACCCUGUGGGGGCUACAGACCCUCCUGCCCUCAUAGCAGAGGUUGUGAAAAAAAAACUGAUGUAUCAGUGCCAAGUGGCAAUAGAAAAGGAACCCAAAGUCUCAAUCAGAAGCCACCCCAGAAAUGUGUUGUCUGGACCACACGUGUUGAUGUCUACAGGAAA